rnacentral:rRNA from 1 species
UAAUUGUUGGCCGGUAUGAAUGGCGUCACGAAGGCCCCACUGUCUUAAGAGGACUCUCCAUGAAAUUGAAUUCGUAGUGAAGAUGCUACGUCCAUAUUGUAAGACGAAAAGACCCCAUUGAGCUUUACUAAAGACUUGCAUGGCUCAAAAUAAUUUGACUUAAAUAAAGAGUUUAGAUAAUGUGGGACCCGUUUCUGGUUAAUGAAACACCACUCUUUUAUUUUAAGAGAGCUAACAUUACAGGGAUAGUGUAAGUUGGAUAGUUUGGUUGGGGCGACCACCUUUUAAAAGGUAACGAAGGUGAGCUUAAGGUCCGUAGUUAAUAGCCGGUGGCCUGACUGCAAGGGGGACGUCUCGAGCAGACACGUCCUUAGGGAUGUGGACUAUAGUGACCCGUCACCUUAGUGUGGAAAAGUUGGCGAUC